rnacentral:rRNA from 1 species
UACGGGGGGGGGCAAGCGUUGUUCGGAAUUACUGGGCGUAAAGGGCUCGUAGGCGGCCAACUAAGUCAGACGUGAAAUCCCUCGGCUUAACCGGGGAACUGCAUCUGAUACUGUGCGGCUAGAGUGCGGAAGGGGCAACUGGAAUUCUUGGUGUAGCGGUGAAAUGCGCAGAUAUCAGGAGGAACACCGGUGGCGAAGGCGGUGGUCUGGGCCGGCACUGACGCUGAGGAGCGAAAGCGUGGGGAGCAAACAGG